rnacentral:rRNA from 1 species
UACAGAGGUCUCAAGCGUUGUUCGGAUUCAUUGGGCGUAAAGGGUGCGUAGGUGGCGCGGUAAGUCGGGUGUGAAAUUUCGGAGCUUAACUCCGAAACUGCAUUCGAUACUGCCGUGCUUGAGGACUGGAGAGGAGACUGGAAUUUACGGUGUAGCGGUGAAAUGCGUAGAUAUCGUAAGGAAGACCAGUGGCGAAGGCGGGUCUCUGGACAGUUCCUGACGCUGAGGCACGAAGGGCAGGGGAGCAAACGGG